rnacentral:rRNA from 1 species
AGCGAGCGCUGGCGGCAGGCCUAACACAUGCAAGUCGAACGGUUGUAGCAAUACAGCCGUGGCGCACGGGUGAGUAACGCGUGGGAAUCUGCCCAGUAGUACGGAAUAACAGUUGGAAACGACUGACAAUACCGUAUACGCCCUUCGGGGGAAAGUUUUUCGCUAUUGGAUGAGCCCGCGUCAGAUUAGCUAGUUGGUGGGGUAAUGGCCUACCAAGGCGACGAUCUGUAGCUGUUCUGAGAGGAAGACCAGCCACACUGGAACUGAGACACGGUCCAGACUCCUACGGGAGGCAGCAGUGGGGAAUAUUGGACAAUGGGCGAAAGCCUGAUCCAGCCAUGCCGCGUGAGUGAUGAAGGCCUUAGGGUUGUAAAGCUCUUUUACCCGGGAUGAUAAUGACAGUACCGGGAGAAUAAGCUCCGGCUAACUCCGUGCCAGCCGCCGCGGUAA